GCCGACAUAGCUCAAUUGGUAGAGCAACGCACUUGUAAUGCGUAGGUUCAGGGUUCAAGUCCCUGUGUCGGCUCCA
rnacentral:tRNA from 1 species